GAUGAACGCUAGCGGCAGGCCUAAUACAUGCAAGUCGAACGGGAUCCAGAUCAAAGCUUGCUUUGGUUUGGUGAGAGUGGCGUACGGGUGCGUAACGCGUGAGCAACCUACCCUUGUCAGGGGGAUAGCCCGGCGAAAGUCGGAUUAAUACCGCAUGACAUCAUUGAGAGGCAUCUUUCGAUGAUCAAAGAUUUAUCGGACAAGGAUGGGCUCGCGUGACAUUAGCUAGUUGGUAAGGUAACGGCUUACCAAGGCUACGAUGUCUAGGGGCUCUGAGAGGAGAAUCCCCCACACUGGUACUGAGACACGGACCAGACUCCUACGGGAGGCAGCAGUAAGGAAUAUUGGUCAAUGGACGGAAGUCUGAACCAGCCAUGCCGCGUGCAGGAAGACGGCCCUAUGGGUUGUAAACUGCUUUUAUACGGGAACAAACGUCGGUACGUGUACCGGUCUGAGUGUACCGUAAGAAUAAGGAUCGGCUAACUCCG
rnacentral:rRNA from 1 species